UACGGGGGGAGCAAACGUUGUUCGGAAUCACUGGGCGUAAAGCGUGCGCAGGCGGUGAUGUAAGACAGGUGUGAAAUCCCCGGGCUUAACCUGGGAACUGCAUUUGUGACUGCAUCGCUGGAGUGCGGCAGAGGGGGAUGGAAUUCCGCGUGUAGCAGUGAAAUGCGUAGAUAUGCGGAGGAACACCGAUGGCGAAGGCAAUCCCCUGGGCCUGCACUGACGCUCAUGCACGAAAGCGUGGGGAGCAAACAGG
rnacentral:rRNA from 1 species